rnacentral:rRNA from 1 species
GACGAACGCUGGCGGCGUGCUUAACACAUGCAAGUCGAACGGUAAGGCCCUUCGGGGUACGCGAGUGGCGAACGGGUGAGUAACACGUGGGUGAUCUGCCCUGCACUUCGGGCUAAGCCUGGGAAACUGGGUCUAAUACCGGAUAGGACUCCGGACUGCAUGGUCUGGGGUGGAAAGCUUUUGCGGGGUGGGAUGGGCCAGCGGCCUAUCAGCUUGUUGGUGGGGUGAUGGCCUACCAAGGCGACGACGGGUAGCCGGCCUGAGAGGGUGACCGGCCACACUGGGACUGAGAUACGGCCCAGACUCCUACGGGAGGCAGCAGUGGGGAAUAUUGCACAAUGGGCGCAAGCCUGAUGCAGCGACGCCGCGUGAGGGAUGACGGCCUUCGGGUUGUAAACCUCUUUCAGCAUCGACGAAGCGAAAGUGACGGUAGGUGCAGAAGAAGGACCGGCCAACUACGUGCCAGCAGCCGCUGUAA